AGGAGAGUGACCAGCAUCGGGCUGACCGCAGGCCAUGCCGGAGCAGAUGGGUUGGCAAAUGAAACCCACACAGGACAUAUCAGGCAGAAACUUCUCGUAGAGAGAGAAAUCCCUCUUCUCUGUGGCUUGAGGUGCCGAAGACAUGUAUGUCACCAAAGACAUCUUGGGACCACAUCGAGAAAUGUGGCUUCCAGCUGAGAAACAAGCACAUCAUCCUCUGCUGUGCUGGCUCACCAUCUGCUCAAAGAAUCUUUUCCACGCUAAGUGAACUAGCAGCUCUUCUAACGAUGUGGCCCAUCCCCACUUGAUUCGUAUCACUCCUUGAUGUCAUAAGGGCAACAACUUUGUCUAUUCAUUGAUGAAUACCCAGUACCUAUAUCAACACUUGGCACCCAGGAGGUGCACAAUUAAUGUUUACUGAAUGGACAAGCAAGAACCUAAGGAAAGCAACUCUUGUGGUGAUUCAGAGAAAUCACUACCUCUACCCAUGCAUCGGGGAGACACGGCCAUGAGCAAUGGGACAGCCAGCUGCUCUGAGUCACAGCCACUCGGCACAGACCCUUUGGCCUCUUGGUGGAUUUGCCCUGUGCCACACUCCUGUUGUAGCUGUGGCUUUGUCCUGAAGGCUCCAAACUCAGUUCCUAGGAGACUAAUUCUAGCCACAGCGAAAAUGACUGAAGUAGUAGAGCCUGAACCUGAACCAGGGCAGUCAUACCUCAGGUUCUCUCCAAAAGGAAGACCAUGAUAGCUGCACCAGGACCAGUAAGCUUUUAAAUGAAACCAAAAUAUGAAUGCCCAGUGAGCCAUGUGUAGACAUCCAGAAUGGCUAAAAACACAGAGACUGAUAAUAUCAAGUGUUAACAAGGACAUGGAGCAACUAAGACACUUAGACCUUGCUGGUUGGAUGCAAGCAGCAGUGUAAUUCCUUCACAAACUAUUUGGUAGUUUCUUAGAAAGUUAAACAUUCACCAGUCAUUUCUCUAGCAAUCCAAACCCUAGGUAUUCAUCCACCACAAAUGAAAACAUAUGUGCACAUUAAAACUUGUACACAAAUGUUCAUACCAACUUUAUUCAUAAAAGCCAAAAAGUCAAAACAGUAGGCUGAAUGAGUUUUAAUGUGGUUUAUCCAUACAUUAUAUAAUUCAGUGGAAAGGAAUGAGCUAUUUACACCUGCAACAACAUGAAUGAAUAUUAAAACUGUUACACCAAAUGGAAAAAAGGAAUGUGCACCAUGAGACUUCUUUUAUAUGAAAGUCUAGAAACGACAAAGUAUCUGGUGACAUAAAGGGUGGGUUGAUCGUUACAGGGGGCUUGAGUUGACUGGAAGAGAGAAACAGAGUUUUGGUAGUGAUAAAAAGUUUUAUGUGUUGAACAUAGUGUCCAGGACACAAGCACCAUGUAUAAAUCUGUUAAAUAUCAUCAAGCUAGACAAUAAAUAAAGGGAGCUUUUUAUUAAAUUUAAAAUAUAUC